GUCCCUAUCGUCUAGAGGCCUAGGACACCAGGUUUUCAUCCUGGUAACACGGGUUCGAAUCCCGUUGGGGAUGCCA
rnacentral:tRNA from 1 species